CCAGCAGCCCCCUUCUUUUCCAAACAGAGGGUUGUGAGCCCGCCUGGGAAUGAGGCCUGGCCUUCUGGAACAGAACUUAGGUCUGCGGGGUGCCAGCUGUGGCCCAGGGUGGUAUGUAAU
rfam:Tupaia chinensis contig60897, whole genome shotgun sequence.